UAUGGCAAUUAACAUGAAUUUAAUCUGGAUUAUAUUUACUUUGUUCUUUCCCGCUUUGAGUUGGGCAGCAUCGAAGGAUUAUCGCUGUGAUUUUCUACCUUUGGAGGGUGAAGAAGGACCUGAUAAAGAUUGUGGAUAUGACACCAAAGUAUGGAGCUAUAAUAGGGAACAAAAUAUUUGCUCUCCUUGGUCUUAUUUUGGCUGCAAAGUGGAUGGCAAUAAGUUUCAUACCCGACGCAUAUGUGAAAUUGUUUGCAUUUUCCCAUCAAAAGAUUUUGCUACAAUUGGUCCAAGACCUGACAGAAUCGAAGUGCUAUUGAGAAAAGCUUUCGAAGGAAAGGAAAAUAGAUAAACAUAUCUCAAUAUUAGUUUAUUUUUAGAUUUAUCUAUUCCAUAAUAAGAUCGAGAUGAAUUCAAGUUUUUAAAUCUAAUCGAGUGGACUUGUGUACUUUUAAAACCAUAUUUCAUAAGUGUUAGUUAGCAAAACACGUAUUAAGUCAUUUCCAUCUUUGUAAUUGCAAUAGUAAACUUGUGUAACUUGA